rnacentral:rRNA from 1 species
UACGUAGGGUGCAAGCGUUGUCCGGAAUUAUUGGGGGUAAAGAGCUUGUAGGCGGUUUGUCGCGUCUGCUGUGAAAUUUCGGGGCUCAACCCCGAACUUGCAGUGGGUACGGGCAGACUAGAGUGUGGUAGGGGAGACUGGAAUUCCUGGUGUAGCGGUGAAAUGCGCAGAUAUCAGGAGGAACACCGAUGGCGAAGGCAGGUCUCUGGGCCACUACUGACGCUGAGAAGCGAAAGCAUGGGGAGCGAACAGG